UAAGCUGAAGUCCGCUGGAGUUAGACGUUUAGUUGUUAACUAAAAUUUUAUGGGAUACAGGCCCNUCUGCUUAG
rnacentral:tRNA from 1 species